rnacentral:rRNA from 1 species
GUAGGAGGCAAGCGUUAUCCGGAUUCACUGGGCGUAAAGCGCGUGCAGGUGGCGCGGUAAGUUGGGCGUGAAAUCUCCCGGCUCAACUGGGAGAGGUCGUCCAAUACUACCGUGCUUGAGAGCAGAAGAGGAAGAUGGAAUUCCCGGUGUAGUGGUGAAAUGCGUAGAUAUCGGGAGGAACACCAGUGGCGAAGGCGAUCUUCUGGUCUGUUUCUGACACUCAGACGCGACAGCUAGGGUAGUAAACGGGAUUAGAGACCCCGGUAAUCCUAGCCGUAAACGAUGUGAACUUGGCGUUGGUGGGUUAAACUCCAUCAGUGCCGUAGCAAACGCGAUAAGUUCACCGCCUGGGGACUACGGCCGCAAGGUUA